UACGUAGGUGGCAAGCGUUGUCCGGAUUUAUUGGGCGUAAAGGGAGCGCAGGCGGUGACUUAAGUCUGAUGUGAAAGCCCACGGCUCAACCGUGGAAGGUCAUUGGAAACUGGGUCACUUGAGUGCAGAAGAGGAAAGUGGAAUUCCAUGUGUAGCGGUGAAAUGCGUAGAUAUAUGGAGGAACACCAGUGGCGAAGGCGACUUUCUGGUCUGUAACUGACGCUGAGGCUCGAAAGCGUGGGGAGCAAACAGGAUUAGAUA
rnacentral:rRNA from 1 species